UACAACCCACUACCUGUUCAUAGUCGUCGUUGCUGUCAACAGCACACUGCUCACCAUCAACGCAGGGGACUACCUCUUCUACACAGACUGGUCGUGGACGUCCUUCGUCUUGUUCUCCGUGUCGCAGUCCUCAAUGCUUACUCUGUGCGCAAUAUCCUGCUAUUUCUUCACAUGCCCUCCUGGCCCGGCCACCUCUUGCUAACAUGCCCAGAACACCUCCCCAUUGUUUCCCAGGCGACCUUGCUUUCCCAUCUGAUACGCCUCCGACGCAACCGCGCAACACGACGCAUCAAGCACGCUGCCAUACUUAUUAGCGGUACGCCGGUUGGGCUAUGCUUCCCGCUGUUUAACAUGGUCAACAUGUUGCUUGGAAGGGCCCCGCGCGUGGUGGCCUUAAAGUAUCCGAGACCGACUCUGCCCGCGUACAUGACGCCUAUAGAGGCUCAGGUAGGGAAGUUCUACAACUCGCCUGUCGGCCUGGGUUCAGGUGCCGGUGCAGUGCUAACGGUACCCAUCGCUACGUUGGGUGCAAAAAUAAACACGUGG
rnacentral:rRNA from 1 species